rnacentral:lncRNA from 1 species
AACCGUUAACGCGGUCCACCCACGGAUUUUUUUUUUUUAACCAUAUAGGACAGGUCGAGAUGUAAUUUUUUUCGGGGUGAUCGUCGGUAUCCCGGUUUCGUUUCGCCGACCUUCUUCCCGGUCGCACGUGACGCUUAGGGUGACUAACCCCAAACACAUUCUCUAGAAGGAGACGAUUCUUGACGACGGUCCAGGUUUCUAUUGUAGUCGUCUCCUUGGCCGCUUUUAAUACUGCCCCCGAUAAGACGGGAAAACUGCCAGUAGAAAUAUACCAGAUCGCAAUCCGACGCCGAGUUCGCGCGCGUGUCGUUCCUUCCUGAAUGACGUCGAAACGCGCCCUUUUUUCUCAACCUUGAACCAAUUGUUUCUGUGGGUUCAGUUCCUCGGGCGUUUUGGGUUCUUUAAGGACCGACUCAACCCAUUGGCACGCAGAAAAUUUAACCAGAGAUAAAGUUCUGGUUUGGACCUAGGAUGCCGGACGUUAGGGGGGGACGUCCUCGCCAAUUACGUAAUUAUUGUCGUUUGCAGGGUCGGGGACAAUGAUGCAUCCGACUGGUUCUUGUUCCAGACACAAAAACUCGUCUUAACAAGGGUUUUAUUGCGUCACUUUACGAUCCUUCUCUCCCAGAGUGCUUCGCCGGUUAAUGAUUUAUUUUAUAUCCGAGUUGACAGUCUUUUUUUUUUUUCUUUGAGGUCUCGUUUGUCCUCCGACCGCAUCGAUCCCUUCGAUUUUUAUCUCCCAUUGCAUAAAUCUUCCUCGCAUUCCACCGAGUAUCGGAUUAACGGAACCAUCUACCAACGUCCUUUCCUUUUCGAUUUUUUCUUACAUCUCAGCUGCGAACUGAUUUCUCAAGGCUAAAUUGGUGACAUCUUAAUAAACGAGUUUGUUGUAUCGAAACAAUAAACAUAAGAAAAGUUAUCAUCGGUUUAUUAAUGCGAGAUUCGAACAUGACACUGUUUACCAAUCGAUAUACAUUUGCCUGGAAGUGACAAGUGUUCGAUUCGGUGAGAUAAAUGGUCACGGGGGAUCUGGCAGCUGUGCAGUUUGGCAGCUGUUAUCCAAAGUAUUGUUCGCAAAUUUUGAACAGUUUUAACUAACAAAAACGUCUCUUGAAUUGAAAAAAACAAGAAAUGAAUUUUCCACACUUCGAGCUAGUGUUACUUAACCGUGCUGGCUCGAAGACAACAAACACCAACACAAAAUCAGUGCAGCUGCUAGGAAGUCGAUACCUGCUUAUAUAGUGCGAGAAUGAUUGCGUAAGAGUGGUCUCUCUCCACAAAACAGUCGUAAACUUCCUCUUCUGCCAAGUCAUUUAGAAUGAAUGAAGUCUUGUAGACUCGUUCACAGAUAUAUUCGUAUUUUCUUUUUUGGGUUAAAAUCUUUUGGAGAGAAUUGGGAAAUGGCUCUAACUCGCCUCUCAGACAUCAUUGAAAGGAACUUUUCGGUGAUGGCGAUUAUGCUAGGAGGAAUUUUUAUUAAAAGGAUGUCGAACCAGUUCCGAUUUUCUCACCUGUCAACGAGGGGGUUCCUUGAAUAAGCUUUGUAUACCGCAGCUCAAUCGGUGAGACCUAUAUAGUGUUCCGCUAUGCGAAAUACAAUACUCUGAGAUCAAUAUUAUUAUAUAUAUAUUGUAACCAGUCCCGUUUAUACACGUCUAUAACAAAUAAUUUUUUUUUAAUAAAUGCCGAAGUCUACAUUCCUGGAACUACUUCAGACAGUUACUUUCAGAUUUAUGUUAGCAAAGUGUUAAAACAUGUCUUCUGGAAUUUCGUAUUGUCUCAUUAACGAUAUACAGCGUCGGUGCCAGACCUGUUUCGUUGUAAAAGGUGACCAUAUCCCGUAUUGAGCCCCAUUUCUGGAAUCUGUGCUUUAUUGCUAUCAUCAUUUGUUAAUUUAGUAAUUUUUAGAAGUUUAAAGUCCACGCGGCUUCGUAAAUAUUAGAAAAAGACUAAUUCAGUUUUGCCAUCCAAAAUAUUGUGUAGUUACAUUCGAAUAACAAACAUUUUAUCGGGAGUAAUUGUUAAAGCGCUAGCGUGUUGUUUCCAAAGAACGUUCGGGACGUGAUGGGCAAGCAUCGAUUUACUUAGGAGAUGCGUGUAAGAUGGGAAAGUAGGAUCUGUGGACACGGUGGGCGGCCAUGCGUACUUCCCAGCUUCGCAUCGGGCUGGAACCUCGCAAUCUCAAAUGACACCGAGGAUAUCUUCUAGCCGUCCAUUUGUUCGUCUAAUAUUUCUUGAAGAGCAGAAUUCUGUAUACUUUAACAAGUUUUUCGUGUAUCGUUAUCAGUGCUCUUUCGUCUACUAAUCCACCCACCGGACAGUCGAUCCGCGUAACGUCAGAAAUUAAUGCAAUACGACUUAUUUCGCGGAACGUAAGAUACUUUUUUUUUUUUUUUUAUCUUAUCAACAGUUUGCAUCCUGGAAAUUAAGUGCUGAAAGUAAAAAUUCGCAUGCAGUAAAUCGAACGUUAAUACGGGUAAUUGUUAAUAUCCCAUCCUGUUUCAUUCAUUUGCACAUUCCGUCUCGGUUCGCCGAACUCUAAAACGAUGUAAAAGUCUUUUUCUUUACAUUAUUUUUUCUUUUUUUUUUUUUUUACUUUCUCUAGUCGAGUUUACUACAUUGUAUUUUGUUCUUUUCAGCCGAAAAAACGCCAUUAUUAUACGC